AUCUAAGUAGUUUAUUUAGAAUAUUAAUUUGUGGUGUUAAAGGUGAAUUAUUUUCUUUAGAUC
rnacentral:tRNA from 1 species